ACAGCCAUACCAUGGUGAAUAUACCGGUUCUCGUUAGAUAACCGAAGUCAAGCAUCAUUGCGCGUGGUCAGUACUUGGGUGGGUGACCACCUGGGAACACCGUGUGCCGUU
rnacentral:rRNA from 1 species